GCGAGCCAUCGGCGCCAGUUGUAUUGUUAUUGCUCACAAAUACUUCAUCAGUAAUUAAUUAAGCAAUCGCUUUUUCCAUUAAAGCGCGUUCAGCAAGUUACAACCCGUGCUAGUGUCAGCGUAUUCAACGCGCUCGCUUCUUUUGAAAACGUAACCUCAAUUCUUGUAGCAUCUUUAUCAUAAACUGCUGCCGAAUGCGUAACGAUUGUUUCUUCGGCGCGUGGAACAAUUGAACCGUCGAGGAGCGUUUUAUCAUCGGCUCGUAAAUUAUCGGCACUCGUGGCUUCGCCGGCGUGAGUCAGGUGUCGCAGUAAACAGACACGGGGUCCCCGGCGAGUCGGCCCGGCGACCCUCGCAUGGACGGAUCGGCGCGAACAUUCGCGGCACGUCCUUUGUUGGCCGUUUUGUUUUGGAGUACCAUCCGGUUUCUGGUGGUAGGGGGGAGGGGACAGGUGGGCGCAGGUAGCGCGCGCGUCGGCACUCGGCAGUCAGUCCAACACGGCGCGCCGCGCUGCGCGCGCGGCUUGCCCGCGACCGAUUCUCUAUCAAAUAUGGAAAUGGCCGGUCAGGCCGCGACAGGUGUGCGUGCGGCAUUCGUGCACGUGUACUGUUUGUGAGUGCCAGCGCUGCCCUCGGCUCCACCUCUCAACCUCACGAUUGUGCAAUGGAACAUGGAAAAUAUGACAAUGGAUUAUUAUUGAUUAAAUGAACGCGUAACUAGUAAGUAGAUAGGCAAAUAAAGCUCCGAUUACUCGCGUCGCGUCACUGGCCGACGUUUCUGGUGUGAGCAAAUACGUGCAAUCGUGACGCGACGUCACACGGAAACCACGGCUUUAUACGUACCUAAUUCAUCAAACUUAUUU